CCUUUGGAGUACUAAUAUAAACGAUAGUAGCUUGUCUUAUAAGACAGCGAGAGCGAGUACAAUGAAUAAGGAA
rnacentral:ncRNA from 1 species